rnacentral:lncRNA from 10 species
GUCGCUGGUCAGACCUCAUGACUCACUUGGACUCUUGAGCCACCUCUGGGGGUGGAGUCUCUCUCCUGGCAUCUGGACCCUUGGUGCUAUCGACGAAGCUUGGCUGGCGCUCUUAGCUGCUAUGUGCAAGACGUGUGUCCCAGGGAAAGCCCCUCUCUCUCUGCAGAGGUCAAGUGAAAGCCACGGCCGCAGCCAACAGAGUUCAAAAUGCAGGCUUGGAAAGUCCAGGGGGCUCUGUGGAGGAUGGGAAGGACUGAUCCACAUUCCCACCAGGAAGUUUAGCAGAACCCCCGCGUGCCACCUGGACCCCUUGGAAGGACCUGGCUCAGGCUGGACCACCUCUUGAGAGGCAGGAGCUCUGGAUUUGAUCAAGAAUUCUUUGCUGAGCAUGGUGCCUCAUGCCUAUAAUCCCAACACUUUGGGAGGCCAGUGUGGGAGGAUCUCUUGAGCCCAGGAGUUCAAGACUAGCCUGGGCAACACAGAGAGACCCCAUCUCUAAAAUAAUAAUAAUAAUAAAAUAAAAAAUUAGCAGGGCAUGGUGGCAUGUGCCUGUAGUCCCAGCUACCCAGGAGGCUGAGGCAAGAGGAUGGCUGGAGCCUGGGAUGUUGAGGCUGCAAUGAACUGUGAUUACCCCACUGCACUCCAGCCUGGGCAAAAGAGCGAGAGACCCUGUCUCAAAUAAUAAUAAUAAUAAUAAUCUUAUUUUGGAGAAUAAAGAGACCUCUGGAUUUGAGGUGCCAUUUGGGUAGAAAGAAAAGACGUUUACACCGAGAAAUAGUCUGUGUUGCCCUGAAGGAGCAGAGGGAUGCAUCGCUGGAGGUGACCUACAGUUGAAGAAGACUCAUUAUGACAGACCUUGUCCUUCUUCCUUGUGGAAAGUGUUUCCUCUGCUGCUACUGCUCAUGAGACUCUUCCCCCUCCCUGUCCCAGGGAACCAAAGGGCUUUCUACCACACCCUUUCUUGCCCCCCGCCUCCCAUGUCUGCUGUGCCUUUGUACUCAGCAAUUCUUGUUUGCUCCAUUAUCUUCCAGCCGGAUACAGAGUGAAUAGUUAACCACACUUAGGUCAAAUAGGAUCUAAAUUUUUGUUCCUGCUCCGUGUAAAGAGGCCAGUGUUUGUGUGUUGCAAGCAGCCUUGGAAUAGUAACUCUUCUCAUUUGUUUGGGAUCUGGCCACCAAGUUCCAGAAUGAUACACGGAUCAGUGCAGAAGUUCAUCAGGCUCUCGGACCUUAGGGCUGUUGGAGAAGGCUUCAGCAGCAGAACUGAUGGUGAAGGCUCGUGUUCUCCAUCCUCAACUUUCUUUGCUUCGAUCAUACACAAGAAUACAUUUGGAAGGGCAAAAAAUGAACACUGUCGUUCAUUGCAGCCGUGUUUUGUGACACAGAUGCACAGUCUGCUGUGAAGACCUUCUCUCAAGUGGCAUUUGGGAGUCCAUGCCAGAUCAUGGUGCUUCAUGAGAGACUGACAGCUAUCAGGGGUUGUGGCACUUAGUGAGGACUCUCCUCCCCCAGUGUGUGCUGAUGACACAUACACACCUGACAAUAGCUUGAGUCUUCUCUGUUCCUUUUACUCUGUAGCCAACAUACACAUGAUUUAAAACCCUUUCUAAAUAUCUAUCAUGGUUCAUCCUUGUCCAAAUGCAGAGUCAGAGCUAUUUGUACUUCAUUAUUAUUUCCAAGGCGAAUAGUUGGCUUUCUUUUUGCAAAAAUAAUUAAAGUUUUUGUAUGUUGC